rnacentral:lncRNA from 1 species
CAUGGCUAGUUAAAGAUCAAGUUAGAAUUUUGUUCCGGUUUGAUGAUUUUGUGCAGAGUUAUGGUCAUUGGACUUGGAAUACUUGGACCAGGGAAAGAAACUUGAACUUGUAGUUUGUAAGGGAAACCCAAAUACUUAAAAAAAAAAGAAACAAAAAAGAUACAAAAAGUGACACUCAAACUAAUAAUUUGAAAAUAAAUCUUGACAACACCAAGUCAAAAAAAAGAAAAAGAUAAUAAGUAGAAAG